rfam:Dysgonomonas mossii DSM 22836 genomic scaffold supercont1.1, whole genome shotgun sequence.
AAGGAGUAUGCUGAAAAUCCUAUUUAACAGAGUAAGCC